GUUUCUCUUGGAAGUCAGUAUGUGCAAAAAAUGCAGCUUUGAAUGUUACACAACAGAAUUCAGCUUCCAUCUGCCCAGUCCUCAAGGAAACAUCAACAGUUGGUGGUGGGAAGAGGCCUCAUUAUUAAGAGACGAACUAUGCACUUUCUGCUCAGAAGAAUACAAGGGGAAAAAAAAAAAGUUUCUUGAAAAUCCAAAUGAAAGAAAGUCCAAAAGAGACAAAAGGUCCUUGCAGAAAAGGAUUGUGGAACUGGAAGUUGAACUGAAAAGAUGCAAACAUAUUACACUUCCAGACCAAGAGAGAGAAUGGAGGUCUGCUUUCUGAAGACUACCUGGUGAUAUAAAUCACAGUGCAAGAUGCAUGGACAACUAGAAGAUUUGCAUUGAAAGCAUUCUACAUCUGAACUGAGAUGAUGAUGUAGAAGUACCCUUUGAUUUGUUUCACCUGUUCUAUACACUUCAAAAAUUUGAAGGUCAGUUUUGUUCUCCUGCUGACUGUUGUUCAGUGCAAGGGCAGGAGAGCCUGUGCUGCCAGCCUGUUCCAGGCCUGUCUCAUGAAGACUGCUCCAAGCUCUGAAGGCAGCCAGUCUUCCAGUCCAGUGAGACUCUUCUAACACUGCUGGGGAGCUCUGAUUCAGACAGUUCUGCCUGUGAAUAUGUGCAUUCUGUCCUAGGGAGUACUUAUGCAUGGGCAAGGCCUUUCUGCCCAGCAGUUUCACUGAGUAUUGGGAAUGUGGAUAAAUAUUAUUUGCACUUUUUGGAUGGAGAAGCCAGAAAGCCACUGUCCUGCCACUCACCAGUGGGUCAGGAGGAGAAGGGUGAAUCCUGUUUUCUUGCUUAAUAGAUUCUGUGGGUAGUCUCUGGAUUCACUACUUCAAGCCUUGUAUACCAGCCACCUGCUCAUUAUAGAGAGAAUUCAUAACUCUUUUACAUGUCUGUUCUUUUCCCCAUAGUUGUUAGAUGCACUCUUGAGAAGGAAGGAACAAAAGAAGAGAAUGCUCAAAAUUCUAAACACUCUUAAUGUCUGGCAGUUAGACAAUAUUAAUUAUACAUGUAUCUGUGUAUUUAGAAACUCAA